rnacentral:rRNA from 1 species
UACAUAGGGUGCGAGCGUUAAUCGGAAUUACUGGGCGUAAAGCGCGCGUAGGCGGUUUUUCAAGUCGGGUGUGAAAUCCCCAGGCUCAACCUGGGAACUGCACUCGAGACUGGAUUACUAGAGUAUGGGAGAGGGAAGUGGAAUUUCCGGUGUAGCGGUGAAAUGCGUAGAUAUCGGGAGGAACACCUGCGGCGAAGGCGGGUUGCUGGGCUGACACUGACGCUGAUGCGCGAAAGCCAGGGGAGCGAACGGG